GAUGAACGCUGGCGGCGUGCCUAAUACAUGCAAGUCGAGCGAACGGACGAGAAGCUUGCUUCUCUGAUGUUAGCGGCGGACGGGUGAGUAACACGUGGAUAACCUACCUAUAAGACUGGGAUAACUUCGGGAAACCGGAGCUAAUACCGGAUAAUAUUAUGAACCGCAUGGUUCAAAAGUGAAAGACGGUCUUGCUGUCACUUAUAGAUGGAUCCGCGCUGCAUUAGCUAGUUGGUAAGGUAACGGCUUAUCAAGGCAACGAUGCAUAGCCGACCUGAGAGGGUGAUCGGCCACACUGGAACUGAGACACGGUCCAGACUCCUACGGGAGGCAGCAGUAGGGAAUCUUCCGCAAUGGGCGAAAGCCUGACGGAGCAACGCCGCGUGAGUGAUGAAGGUCUUCGGAUCGUAAAACUCUGUUAUUAGGGAAGAACAUAUGUGUAAGUAACUGUGCACAUCUUGACGGUACCUAAUCAGAAAGCCACGGCUAACUACGUG
rnacentral:rRNA from 1 species